rnacentral:tRNA from 1 species
GGGUGCGUAGCUCAGUUGGUCAGAGCGCACGGUUCACAUCCGUGAGGUCACAGGUUCAAGUCCUGUCGCGCCCA